rnacentral:rRNA from 1 species
UACGAAGGGGACUAGCGUUGUUCGGAAUCACUGGGCGUGAAGCGCACGUAGGCGGAUGUGUCAGUCAGGGGUGAAAUCCCGGGGCUCAACCUCGGAACUGCCUUUGAUACAGCACGUCUCGAGUCCGGAAGAGGUGGGUGGAAUUCCUAGUGUAGAGGUGAAAUUCGUAGAUAUUAGGAAGAACACCAGUGGCGAAGGCGAGUCCCUGGACAGGUCCUGACGCUGAGGCACGAAAGCUAGGGGAGCAAACGGG